rnacentral:tRNA from 1 species
GGGGCGUAGCUCAGUUGGUAGAGCGUUCGGUUCGCAUCCGAGAGGUCAAGGGUUCGAAUCCCUCCGUCUCC